GCUGUCUCUGUUCCUCUCUUAAUUGUAUACUGAGAGCUUUAGCUGCAAAGUAUUGUGCAUUCAAAACCCUAAAGAUGAGACAACCAUGGCAUCAGCUUCUUCUCCGAGCUCGAAGUCGCUCUUGGGCUCGUCUUCCUGUUCACCCUUCGCAUUCCCAGGUACAAUCCGAAUCCAAUCUUCAAUCUUUUCGCUUUCUCACAUCACUCCUCCACAACCAUUCUAUUCACGACGACAAGAUUUCACCUUCACUGGUACCCACUGCUUUUGUUCCUCGCUUCUUUGCGAACACCAUUAACCCCACAAAUCCCUCCAUUUUUUCUCGGAGUUUCUCAUCCGAACAGGCUUUUGAACUUAAGGAUUCCGAUCAUGCUAUCAUAUCCGAUAUUUUCUCCAAACACAGGGGUGUGGAUGAUAUCAGGAAGGACUUGGAGUUGAAUAAUAUUGUUAUUAGCCAUGAAUUGAUAUUGAGUGUUUUAGGGAAGCUGGAUAGUUGUCCCAAUGUUGCAAGAAGGUUUUUUGAUUGGGUUUUGGAGAGUGACGGUGAGAGGUUGAGCUCCAAAUCGUAUAACUUGAUGUUGGGUAUUCUGGGUGUUAAUGGGCUUAUGCAGGAGUUUUGGGAUUUGGUUCAUAUGAUGAAGAAAAAAGGGUAUGGUGUAUCUAAAGGCGUGCGUGACAGGGUUUUGGAGAAAUUUGAGAAGGAAGGUAUGGAUGGUGAUGUUGAGAAGUUAAGAGGGGUCUUUGCCUUGGGGUCCAUAGACAAUUCGUCGGAGAAGAUUUGUUCAAGGAUGUCUAAGAUUAUUAGAAAUGAGGUGUGGGGGGAUGAUGUUGAGAAGCAACUACAGGAUUUGAAUGUGACAUUUUCAAGUGAUUUGGUUAAAUUGGUGUUGGAUAGUCUAGGUACAGAGCCGACGAAAGCGUUGAUAUUUUUUCGAUGGCUAGACGAGAAUGGGCUGUUUAGGCAUGAUCAGCAAACUUAUAAUGCUGUGGCACAGGUUUUGGGUAGGGAAGAUUGCAUUGACAGGUUUUGGAAAGUAGUAGAUGAAAUGAGGAGUAAAGGAUAUGAUAUGGAGGUGGAGGUUUAUGCUAAGGUUUUAGGACGUUUCUGCAAGAGGAAAAUGUUGAAGGAUGCUGUGGAUUUGUAUGAAUACGCAAUGGCUGGUGCAAAUAAACCUUCCGUGCAUUGUUGUACCUUUCUAUUGAAGAAAAUAGUUGUAGAUAAGAAGCUUGAUAUGGGUCUGUUUUACAGAGUUGUGAGGAUUUUUACAGAGAGUGGGAAUGCAUUAACAAAUUCUAUGCUUGAUUCAGUUCUUAAGUCUCUAAACAGCGUUGGUAGAUAUGGAGAGUGCAGCAAGGUUUUGAAAGCAAUGGAGGAAGGUGGGUAUGUUGUUAGUAAUAAUCUACAGAGCAAAAUCGCAUUCCAGCUCGGUAGUGCUGGCAAAAAGGAUGAAGCGAUUGAGAUUGUGGAUGGUAUGGAAGUGUUUGGGAGCAGUUCUAAGACAUGGGCUUCAUUAAUUGAGGGACUGUGUGUAGCUGGGGAUCUUGAUAAGGCUUCUAGUUGCUUACAAAAGAUGGUGGAGAAAGAGGGUGCCAACUCUGCUGGUUAUGCUUUUGAUUCGCUCGUAAUUGCAUAUUGCAGAAAGAACAAAGCAAUGGAUGCUUACAAGCUUCUAAAUGAAUUAGUCAGUGAAAAACAGUUAAAGCCAUGGCAUAGUACAUACAAAGUUUUGAUAAGUAAGCUACUGGUUGAGGGUGGAUUUGGAUAUGCUUUGAAUAUUUUGGAAAUGAUGAAAAAUCAUGGAUUCCCGCCCUUUGUGGAUCCAUUUGUUGAGUAUGUUUCGAAGUCUGGAACAGGUGAUGAUGCCGUAGCGUUUCUGAAGGCAAUGACUUCAAAGAGGUUUCCAUCUAUCUCUGUGGUUCUCCGUGUAUUUGAAGCCUAUUUCAAGGCUGGAAGGCAUACUGAAGCUCAAGAUUUCCUUUCUAAAUGCCCUGGAUACAUCCGUAACCACGCUGAUGUUUUGAAUCUCUUCUGUUCCAUGAACACUGUAAAAGGUUAAGUAGGCGUCUUGAAGUUUCAUUGACAACCUGUUGGAAGAGUUUCUAUAGACUUCCUGAUCAUGAUCUCACUCGUAAAGUCUUGGAGAAGACAGGCUUUGCCAAACUGGCGGCCAAAUGGAUAGAAUGAGACUAAACGAUGAGCAAAACGUGAUGAGUGUGACUCAACAUGGCAGUGGACAAGGUUUAGUGUCAUUCUCCACGAAAUUUUUUCUCUCUUAGAAAAAUUAGAGGAAAUUUCUUCUUGGAGGUUUCUGUAAGAUACAUUUUUCAACCGCAUUUAUGAUUAUUUAUUUUUUAUUUUUUUAAUGAAUUGGGAAUUUGGAGCAAAGAAAUAAAGGACAAGUAAUGUUGUAACAGACAGUGUGACAAAAUGCCAUCAUCAGCUCGAUGAUUAGUGGCUAUUGCUUCCCAUCCAUGUGCGUAGCAUCUCUGUUUUUACAAUAAGGCUCUCUAUGCAGUUGAAGGGGGACUAAAAAAAUUGAAUCAACCCCACUCUAAGUUUAGCUUUAGAUUAGCUAUAGAUGAUGAUCAAUUCUAUCGUGUAUGAAACAUAGACAGUAUGAUAAUGAUUUGUCAUCCAUUGUUAUGGUUCUUGUUUGUGUUCAUAAACAUUGAAACUUUUGUAGAUUCAGUUGUUU